CCAGCUCCAAUAGCGUACGUUAAAGUUGCUGCAGUUAAAAAAGCUCGUAGUUGAACGUUCGGGUUCCGCGGGACGGGGCCGCCCCGCGAGGGACGGCGCCGCCCCGGGGCUCGUGAUAUCUUAUCUCGCCGCCCGUCGCGAGGCGGACGGAGGGAUGGAUGAGGUUACCUGGAAAAAAUCGGGGCGAUCUAGGCGGGCGAACCUCGCCAACGAACGAUCGGACAUGGGAUAACGGAAGAGGGCGUCGGCUCGACUUCGUCGGUUCCUCGGGGCCGAGGCACGUACGGUGAAUAGGGACGGUCGGGGCCGCCCGUACCGGGUCGUGAGAGGUGAAAUUCUAGGAUCGACCCGAGACGAACUGCCGCGAAAGCAUUCGGCAAGGACGCUUUCAUUAAUCAAGAACGAAAGUCGGGGGAUCGAAGACGAUCAGAUACCGUCGUAGUCCCGACCGUAAACGAUGCCGACCGAGGGCCCGGAGGAGUUACGUACGACCCUCCGGGCCCUCCCGCGAGAAAUCAGGAG
rnacentral:rRNA from 1 species